UGAACAUCACCGCGCCCGCCGACGUUGAGAACACGGACGGCGUCCACGUCGGAGGCUCCUCCAAGAUCAGCAUCCUCAACUCGACCAUCGGCACCGGCGACGACUGCGUCUCGAUUGGGCCCGGGUGCAACGGCGUCUUGGUGGACAGCAUCACCUGCGGCCCCGGGCAGGGCAUCAGCGUCGGCUGCCUAGGCCGCUACAAGGACGAGAAGGACGUGAGCGACAUCACGGUGCGGAACUGCGUGCUCAAGAACACCACCAACGGCGUGCGCAUCAAGUCGUACGUGGACGCCGAGUCCGUGCUGACGGCCUCCCAUCUCACCUUCGAGAACAUCAGGAUGGAGGAGGUGGCCAACCCCAUCGUCAUCGACCAGUACUUCUGCCCGCAGAAGGUAUGCCCUGGCAAGCGGAGCAACUCCUCGCAUGUCUCCGUCAAGGACGUCACGUUCCGCAACAUCACCGGCACGUCGUCCACGCCCGAGGCCAUCAGCCUGCUCUGCUCGGAGACGCAGCCAUGCAGCGGCGUCUCCCUCAUCGAUGUCAAC
rnacentral:lncRNA from 1 species